rnacentral:rRNA from 1 species
CCUACGGGAGGCAGCAGUGGGGAAUCUUGCGCAAUGGGCGAAAGCCUGACGUAGCAACGCCGCGUGCGGGAAGAAGGCUUUCGGGCUGUAAACCGCUUUCAGCAGGAACGAAAAUGACGGUACCUGCAGAAGAAGGAGCGGCCAACUAUGUGCCAGCAGCCGCGGUGAUACAUAGGCUUCAAGCGUUGUCCGGAUUUAUUGGGCGUAAAGAGUUCGUAGGCGGUCAAGUAAGUCGGGUGUGAAAAUUCUGGGCUCAACCCAGAGACGCCACCCGAUACUGCUUAACUUGAGUUCGAUAGGGGAGUGGGGAAUUCCUAGUGUAGCGGUGAAAUGCGCAGAUAUUAGGAGGAACACCGGUGGCGAAGGCGCCACUCUGGAUCGAUACUGACGCUGAGGAACGAAAGCAUGGGUAGCAAACAGGAUUAGAUACCCUGGUAGUCCAUGCCGUAAACGGUGGGCACUAGGUGUGGGUUUCAUUAACGAAAUCCGCGCCGUCGCUAACGCAUUAAGUNCCCCGCCUCGGAGGUACGGUCGCGAGAACGUAAACGUUAAAGUAAGUAGUAGACGUCGUAGAGUUAGCGACGACGACGACGACGGAGGAGGAG